rnacentral:rRNA from 1 species
UGGGGAAUUUUGGACAAUGGGCGCAAGCCUGAUCCAGCCAUUCCGCGUGCAGGACGAAGGCCUUCGGGUUGUAAACUGCUUUUGUACGGAACGAAAAGGCUCUGGCUAAUACCUGGGGCUCAUGACGGUACCGUAAGAAUAAGCACCAGCUAACUACGUGCCAGCAGCCGCGGUAAUACGUAGGGUGCAAGCGUUAAUCGGAAUUACUGGGCGUAAAGCGUGCGCAGGCGGUUAUGUAAGACAGAGGUGAAAUCCCCGGGCUCAACCUGGGAACUGCCUUUGNGACUGCAUAGCUGGAGUACGGCAGAGGGGGAUGGAAUUCCGCGUGUAGCAGUGAAAUGCGUAGAUAUGCGGAGGAACACCGAUGGCGAAGGCAAUCCCCUGGGCCUGUACUGACGCUCAUGCACGAAAGCGUGGGGAGCAAACA